rnacentral:rRNA from 1 species
UACGAAGGGGGCUAGCGUUGUUCGGAAUUACUGGGCGUAAAGCGCACGUAGGCGGAUUGUUAAGUUAGGGGUGAAAUCCCAGGGCUCAACCCUGGAACUGCCUUUAAUACUGGCAAUCUCGAGUCCGAGAGAGGUGAGUGGAAUUCCGAGUGUAGAGGUGAAAUUCGUAGAUAUUCGGAGGAACACCAGUGGCGAAGGCGGCUCACUGGCUCGGUACUGACGCUGAGGUGCGAAAGCGUGGGGAGCAAGCAGG